rnacentral:misc_RNA from 1 species
UACCGUGGGCGUGGCAUUGCCAAGC